rnacentral:rRNA from 1 species
UACAGAGGGUGCAAGCGUUAAUCGGAAUUACUGGGCGUAAAGCGCGCGUAGGUGGUUUGUUAAGUUGGAUGUGAAAUCCCCGGGCUCAACCUGGGAACUGCAUUCAAAACUGACAAGCUAGAGUAUGGUAGAGGGUGGUGGAAUUUCCUGUGUAGCGGUGAAAUGCGUAGAUAUAGGAAGGAACACCAGUGGCGAAGGCGACCACCUGGACUGAUACUGACACUGAGGUGCGAGAGCGUGGGGAGCAAACAGG